GCCGUUGUAGCUCAGUCGGUAGAGCAACUCACUCGUAAUGAGUAGGUCGGCGGUUCGAUUCCGCCCAACGGCUCCA
rnacentral:tRNA from 2 species